GUGCCAGCAGCCGCGGUAAUACGGAGGAUCCAAGCGUUAUCCGGAAUCAUUGGGUUUAAAGGGUCCGUAGGCGGUCUAAUAAGUCAGUGGUGAAAGCCCAUCGCUUAACGAUGGAACGGCCAUUGAUACUGUUAGACUUGAAUUAUUGGGAAGUAACUAGAAUAUGUAGUGUAGCGGUGAAAUGCUUAGAUAUUACAUGGAAUACCAAUUGCGAAGGCAGGUUACUAUCAAUAUAUUGACGCUGAUGGACGAAAGCGUGGGGAGCGAACAGGAUUAGAUACCCUGGUAGUCC
rnacentral:rRNA from 1 species